rnacentral:misc_RNA from 1 species
GAUGAAGAACGUAGCGAAAUGCGAUAAGUAAUGUGAAUUGCAGAAUUCAGUGAAUCAUCGAAUCUUUGAACGCACCUUGCGCCCUUUGGCUAUUCUGAAGGGCAUGCCUGUUUGAGUAUCGUGAACACCUCAACUCUCAUGGUCUGCCAUGAUGAGCUUGGACUUUGGGGGUCUUGCUGGCCUACUGUCAGCUCCUCUCAAAUGAAUCAGCUUACCAGUGUUUGGUGGCACCACAGGUGUGAUAACUAUCUACGCUUGUGGUUUUCUGCCAGGUAACCUCCAGUGAUGGAGGUUAGCUGGAGCUCACAAAUGUCUCUCCUCAGCGAGGACAGCUUUUUGAACGUUUGAUCUCAAAUCAGGUAGGACUACCCGCUGAACUUAAGCAUAUCAAUAAGCGGAGGA